AUGCUGGGGUCUGUCACCCUCCUUCUCGCCACCCUGAUCCCUGCUGGCCAGACAGUGCUCACCAUGGACCAGCCAAUGGUCUCCACCACCAAACAGGCUGGGACAUCGGCAUCCUUUCCCUGCAAGUUUUCUGGACAAAGCAUCACGUACAUCCACUGGUAUCGCCAGCAGCCUGGGAAGGCUCCCCAGCGCCUGCUCUACUGUUACCUGGCCUCGUCUCAACACACUCUGGAUUCAGGGUUCAGCUCAGACAAAUUCUUCACUUACAAGAGCAAUGAUCUGAGCUGUACCCUGAAAGUAAGGAAACUGAGCAUGAGUGACGUUGGCACCUAUUACUGUGCCAGCUGGGACUCCACAGUGACACAGUUCCCUCCACCUCUCAUACAAAAAACUGCCAACUCUGGUCACCAGGAGCAGGGCCUUCCCCCAACAGCUCCAAUAGUGAAUCUCACCCACUGCUUCAGUCUCCUUGGCAAACUAUGGGGGCCUCCAGAUGCAGACAGAUGUGUCCUGCAGCUUUUUCCCCGAAGAACAAUUCCAGCAGCUCCGCCCACAUUAGCCAGAGGUUGA